ACACAUGCAGUCGAACGGUGAAGCCCAAGCUUGCUGGGUGGAUCAGUGGCGAACGGGUGAGUAACACGUGAGCAAUCUGCCCCUGACUCUGGGAUAAGCGCUGGAAACGGCGUCUAAUACUGGAUACGAACCGUGGAGGCAUCUUCAACGGUUGGAAAGAUUUUUUGGUCAGGGAUGAGCUCGCGGCCUAUCAGCUUGUUGGUGAGGUAAUGGCUCACCAAGGCGUCGACGGGUAGCCGGCCUGAGAGGGUGACCGGCCACACUGGGACUGAGACACGGCCCAGACUCCUACGGGAGGCAGCAGUGGGGAAUAUUGCACAAUGGGCGCAAGCCUGAUGCAGCAACGCCGCGUGAGGGAUGACGGCCUUCGGGUUGUAAACCUCUUUUAGCAGGGAAGAAGCGAAAGUGACGGUACCUGCAGAAAAAGCGCCGGCUAACUACGUGCCAGCAGCCGCGGUAAUACGUAGGGCGCAAGCGUUAUCCGGAAUUAUUGGGCGUAAAGAGCUCGUAGGCGGUUUGUCGCGUCUGCUGUGAAAUCCCGAGGCUCAACUUCGGGUCUGCAGUGGGUACGGGCAGACUAGAGUGCGGUAGGGGAGAUUGGAAUUCCUGGUGUAGCGGUGGAAUGCGCAGAUAUCAGGAGGAACACCGAUGGCGAAGGCAGAUCUCUGGGCCGUAACUGACGCUGAGGAGCGAAAGGGUGGGGAGCAAACAGGCUUAGAUACCCUGGUAGUCCACCCCGUAAACGUUGGGAACUAGUUGUGGGGUCCAUUCCACGGAUUCCGUGACGCAGCU
rnacentral:rRNA from 1 species